GAUGAAGAACGUAGCGAAAUGCGAUAAGUAAUGUGAAUUGCAGAAUUCAGUGAAUCAUCGAAUCUUUGAACGCACAUUGCGCCCCUUGGUAUUCCGGGGGGCAUGCCUGUUCGAGCGUCAUUAUAACCCCUCAAGCUCAGCUUGGUGUUGGGGCCUGCCGACUGGCAGCCCUUAAAAUCAGUGGCGGCGCCAUCUGGCUCUAAGCGUAGUAAUUUCUCUCGCUAUGGAGUCCUGGUGGAUGCUUGCCAUCAACCCCCAAUUUUUCUAUGGUUGACCUCGGAUCAGGUAGGGAUACCCGCUGAACUUAAGCAUAUCAAUAAGCGGAGGA
rnacentral:misc_RNA from 1 species